ensembl:processed_transcript 4930594M22Rik RIKEN cDNA 4930594M22 gene
AUUCGCUGGCUGGUGACAGAGUCCCUAAGCCGCCCCCAGGCUCCCAGUCCCAGCCCGCCUCGGCGCCUCACCUGCAGCGGUCGGGGGAAUCACGAGGAGCGCGCCCGGACCACGGAGCGGAAAUGCCCAGCUGGGCGGGUGUCGCAACCAAACCGCCCCGGGCGGCGCUCCUGCUGGUCUCUCGCCGCUCCGCCCGCCCCGGCAGCGCCACGGAGCGCACCUGGCAGCGCGCACGCCACUCCCCAUGUGCCGGAACCGCGCAGAGCAAAACUUGAAUGCAUGAUACACAGUAUUGAAAAUACUACUUGAGAAGACCCAAGGAGAACAUGAGAAGACAUGAGACACACCCACAACCUAGUGGGUGGAAGAGACAUGGGAUGGCAACUCAGUACACUACUAACAGACAUUUUAGACCAUGUUUAAAUCCUCUCCCAGAUACCAGUUAUAUCCAAAGUGGGACAUAAAGCACAGCAAAGCAACACUAACUUCUGAAUAUUCUUACAGCCAAGUACAUGUUCUGUAUGUUUUGGAAAACAAGCCAUCUACCUCCUGUCUACACAGUUUAGAUGGUUUACUAGUUUUCAAUUCUAUCAAAGUACCACCAAGGUUUUUAAAGGGAUGGUUGGGUUUUUAUAAAGAAGGCAGCAGAGGGCUACUUGGUAGAAAACUCGCCUACCACAUCCAAGGCCCUGGGACUGAUCUCCAGUAUCGUAAGAUAGCACAACAAGGGUAACAGAGCCCACCACCCCACCCCAAACCAGUUGAACCUGGUCUACUAUGGGCUGAGAAAUCAGAUCUAACCAUCAGCAUUGUAUUUUAACUAAGAAUCCAUUCCUCUCAGAAAAGACCUGAAAGCAGAUCCUAUGUGUACCUAGCUGUUUCCAGCAUGCUGAAGGGUAGGUAGUGUGGCUCAAUGAUAGGCCUCAGAAUAAAUGAGACCUGAUCACACCCACUCCUCAACACUAAUUUUCAUUACAUUAUGGUUUUCAUCACAUUAUGUUCAGGUAUGUUAGAGGAAAUUUCGUUUUCUAGAAAGACAUUAGCAUCAUUAUGUGUGCUGGGGUACUGGAUGUGCUCUUGCGGCUAGAAGUCAGUAUCAGAUGUCUUCUUAAAUUGUUAUCCAAUUUAUUUUUUUAAGUCAGGGACAGGGUUCUCACUGACCUUGGAGCUCAUUAAUUAGGUUAAUCCAGCUGGCUAGUGAGGGGAUCCUGUCUCUAUUUCCCAGUGUUGGGGUUGUAUGGUAUCUACCACCGUGCCUGGGCUUUUAUGUGGGUGAGGAGGGUGUGACUUGUGGCCUCAUGCCUGCACUGUGAGCAUUUUACCGAUUGAGCCAUCUCCCCACUCUCUAGAAAAGGUUAUUUUUGUUAACAUCAAUUAACCCAGAUUUAUUUUCAUUCUUCCUCCCUCCCUUCCUUCCCCACUCCCUUCUUUCUUUUCCUGGAGUCUCUCUGUGUCAUCCUAAGGGCCUCAGACACAGAGAUUUGCCUGCCUCUCCCUGCCAAAUGCUGGGACCAAAGCUGCAUACCACCACACCCAGCUUAUUUAUCUUUUAAACUCUAGGACUAACACUGGUCAGCAGCACGCCCUGACUAGCCUGUGGGAAUGUCACUGGUCUGCAUGCCUUGGUUAGCCCACAGAAUGAUGGAUGGUGGAACACCUUCUCAUCAUCUCCUUCUCCUCUGUACCUGUGUUAUCCAGAAGUAUGAUCAUGUUGUUCCACGCCAGGCUGUGCUCCGGCUUCAGUACGGUGGCAUUUCUCCAAGCGUUCAAUGCAUCCACGUGGCGAUUUAGAUCUGCAUACUGAAAAUAAAGACCCGCCCCCCC